rnacentral:rRNA from 1 species
UACGAGGGGUGCUAGCGUUGUUCGGAAUCAUUGGGCGUAAAGCGUGCGUAGGCGGCAUGGUAAGUCAGCUGUGAAAGCCCAGGGCUCAACCUUGGAAUUGCAGUUGAAACUAUCAAGCUAGAGUAUGGCGGGGGAUAGUGGAAUUCCUAGUGUAGGGGUGAAAUCCGUAGAUAUUAGGAGGAACAUCAGUGGCGAAGGCGACUAUCUACACCAUUACUGACGCUGAGGUACGAAAGCGUGGGGAGCAAACGGG